AACCACAGCCAUAUGACCCUGCAGCCCAAUAAAUUUUACUUACUGAAACUAACAGGACUGAGCCUGGUCAGUACCUGGAUGGGAGAUGACAUGGGAAAACUAGGUUGCUGUUGGAA
rnacentral:rRNA from 1 species